GCUAUGCUUUUCUUUUUCUCUUUGCUUCCCUUUUUUCAGGUGUCAAGUUUUCGAAGGACAAAAAAAAAAAAAGGCUUAUCUUCUUUUGAGGAGUCUGAAGAAAUGUUUACUAUCAAGGAUAGAGAGCCCGGAAGAGUGGCUGUUUUUGAGCAACU
rnacentral:lncRNA from 1 species